AUGCAUCUCAAUGGGGGGUUAUUUCUUUCCUCAACAAGUUAUAGUAUAACAGGAGAGGGUAAUGAUGCUGACCUGUGGCUUCACCUUCCAUGGAAAACUCUGGCACACCUUCCAUGGAAAACUCUGACUUGCCAGGAGGUGGUCGUCGCUUCCAGAGAUCGUCGCCGAUCCAGUAGUCGCUUCAAGAGACCGUCUCUCGAUCUGGUCGUCGCUUCCAGAGAUCGUCGCCCAGCCCGGUCGUCGCUUCCAGGGAUGGGGAUGCCUUCACCAAAUGAGGCAAAAUCUGGCUCGCAGAUAUGGGUCGUCCAUCUGGAAGGUUUCGGUUGUAUACAUGGAAAGAAUCCAACUUGA
rnacentral:rRNA from 1 species